rnacentral:rRNA from 1 species
CAGCCGCCACGGUAAUACGUAGGUGGCAAGCGUUGUCCGGAAUUGUUGGGCGUAAAGCGCGCGCAGGCGGAUCAGUUAGUCUGUCUUAAAAGUUCGGGGCUUAACCCCGUGAGGGGAUGGAAACUGCUGAUCUAGAGUAUCGGAGAGGAAAGUGGAAUUCCUAGUGUAGCGGUGAAAUGCGUAGAUAUUAGGAAGAACACCAGUGGCGAAGGCGACUUUCUGGACGAAAACUGACGCUGAGGCGCGAAAGCCAGGGGAGCGAACGGGAUUAGAUACCCCCGUAGUCCCUGUCUCUUAUACA